CGAAAGCCUGACGGAGCAACGCCGCGUGAGGGAUGAAGGCCUCUGGGCUGUAAACCUCUUUUCUCAAGGAAGAAGAUCUGACGGUACUUGAGGAAUAAGCCACGGCUAAUUCCGUGCCAGCAGCCGCGGUAAUACGGGAGUGGCAAGCGUUAUCCGGAAUUAUUGGGCGUAAAGCGUCCGCAGGCGGUUCUGUAAGUCUGCCGUUAAAGCGUGGAGCUUAACUCCAUUUCGCCGGUGGAAACUGCAGGACUUGAGUGUGGUAGGGACAGAGGGAAUUCCCGGUGUAGCGGUGAAAUGCGUAGAUAUCGGGAAGAACACCAGUGGCGAAAGCGCUCUGCUGGGCCAUAACUGACGCUCAUGGACGAAAGCCAGGGGAGCG
rnacentral:rRNA from 1 species